CUGGUGUCAGCCGCCGCGGUAAUACCAGCACCCCGAGUGGUCGGGACGAUUAUUGGGCCUAAAGCAUCCGUAGCCGGUCCUACAAGUCUUCCGUUAAAUCCACCUGCUUAACAGAUGGGCUGCGGAAGAUACUAUAGGGCUAGGAGGCGGGAGAGGCAAGCGGUACUCAGUGGGUAGAGGUAAAAUCCUCUGAUCCAUUGAAGACCACCAGUGGCGAAGGCGGCUUGCCAGAACGCGCUCGACGGUGAGGGAUGAAAGCUGGGGGAGCAAACCGGAUUAGAUACCCGGGUAGUCCCAGCUGUAAACGAUGCAGACUCGGUGAUGGGUUGGCCUUGUGCCAACCCAGUGCCGCAGGGAAGCCGUUAAGUCUGCCGCCUGGGGAGUACGGUCGCAAGACUGAAACUUAAAG
rnacentral:rRNA from 2 species